UACGUAGGGGGCUAGCGUUGUCCGGAUUUAUUGGGCGUAAAGAGCGUGUAGGCGGCCAGGUAGGUCUGGUGUGAAAACUCGAGGCUUAACCUCGAGAUGUCAUCGGAAACCAUCUGGCUAGAGUCCGGAAGAGGAGAGUGGAAUUCCUGGUGUAGCGGUGAAAUGCGCAGAUAUCAGGAAGAACACCAAUGGCGAAAGCAGCUCUCUGGGACGGUACUGACGCUGAGGCGCGAAAAGCGUGGGGAGCAAACAGG
rnacentral:rRNA from 1 species